rnacentral:rRNA from 1 species
GGGGAAUAUUGCACAAUAGGGGAAACCCUGAUGCAGCGACGCCGCGUGGAGGAAGAAGGUCUUCGGAUUGUAAACUCCUGUUGUUGAGGAAGAUAAUGACGGUACUCAACAAGGAAGUGACGGCUAACUACGUGCCAGCAGCCGCGGUAAAACGUAGGUCACAAGCGUUGUCCGGAAUUACUGGGUGUAAAGGGAGCGCAGGCGGGCGAUCAAGUUGGAAGUGAAAUCCAUGGGCUCAACCCAUGAACUGCUUUCAAAACUGAUUGUCUUGAGUAGUGCAGAGGUAGGCGGAAUUCCCGGUGUAGCGGUGGAAUGCGUAGAUAUCGGGAGGAACACCAGUGGCGAAGGCGGCCUACUGGGCACCAACUGACGCUGAGGCUCGAAAGUGUGGGUAGCAAACAGGAUUAGAUACCCUGGUAGUCCACACCGUAAACGAUGAUUACUAGGUGUUGGAGGAUUGACCCCUUCAGUGCCGCAGUUAACACAAUAAGUAAUCCACCUGGGGAGUACGACCGCAAGGUUGAAACUCAAAGGAAUUGACGGGGGCCCGCACAAGCAGUGGAGUAUGUGGUUUAAUUCGACGCAACGCGAAGAACCUUACCAAGUCUUGACAUCCUGCGACGAUGCUGGAAACAGUAUUUUCCUUCGGGACGCAGAGACAGGUGGUGCAUGGUUGUCGUCAGCUCGUGUCGUGAGAUGUUGGGUUAAGUCCCGCAACGAGCGCAACCCUUACUGUCAGUUACUACGCAAGAGGACUCUGGCAGGACUGCCGUUGACAAAACGGAGGAAGGUGGGGAUGACGUCAAAUCAUCAUGCCCUUUAUGAUCUGGGCUACACACGUGCUACAAUGGCUGUUACAGAGAGAAGCGAAUCCGCGAGGAAGAGCAAACCUCAAAAAGGCAGUCUCAGUUCGGAUUGUAGUCUGCAACUCGACUACAUGAAGCUGGAAUCGCUAGUAAUCGCGAAUCAGAAUGUCGCGGUGAAUACGUUCCCG